AUACGGAGGAUCCGAGCGUUAUCCGGAUUUAUUGGGUUUAAAGGGAGCGUAGGCGGACGCUUAAGUCAGUUGUGAAAGUUUGCGGCUCAACCGUAAAAUUGCAGUUGAUACUGGGGGUCUUGAGUGAGUUCGAUGUAGGCGGAAUUCGAGGUGUAGAGGUGAAAUGCUUAGAUAUCACGAAGAACUCCGAUUGCGAAGGCAGCCUACAAGGCCUUUACUGACGCUAAAGCUCGAAGGUGCGGGUAUCGAACAGGAUUAGAUACCCUGGUAGUCCGCACGGUAAACGAUGGAUGCCCGCUGUUCGCGAUAUACUGUGAGCGGCCAAGAGAAAUCGUUAAGCAUCCCACCUGGGGAGUACGCCGGCAACGGUGAAACUCAAAGGAAUUGACGGGG
rnacentral:rRNA from 1 species